AUCCGGCUGAUGAGUCCCGAGUAGGACGAAAAGCGCAUCCUGGAU
rnacentral:hammerhead_ribozyme from 1 species